rnacentral:rRNA from 1 species
UGGGGAAUUUUGGACAAUGGGCGAAAGCCUGAUCCAGCAAUGCCGCGUGUGUGAAGAAGGCCUUCGGGUUGUAAAGCACUUUUGUCCGGAAAGAAAUCCUUGGCUCUAAUACAGUCGGGGGAUGACGGUACCGGAAGAAUAAGCACCGGCUAACUACGUGCCAGCAGCCGCGGUAAUACGUAGGGUGCAAGCGUUAAUCGGAAUUACUGGGCGUAAAGCGUGCGCAGGCGGUUUGCUAAGACCGAUGUGAAAUCCCCGGGCUCAACCUGGGAACUGCAUUGGUGACUGGCAGGCUAGAGUAUGGCAGAGGGGGGUAGAAUUCCACGUGUAGCAGUGAAAUGCGUAGAGAUGUGGAGGAAUACCGAUGGCGAAGGCAGCCCCCCGGGCCAAUACUGACGCUCAUGCACGAAAGCGUGGGGAGCAAACAGGAUUAGAUACCCUGGUAGUCCACGCCCUAAAACGAUGUCAACUAGUUGUUGGGGAUUCAUUUCCUUAGUAACGUAGCUAACGCGUGAAGUUGACCGCCUGGGGAGUACGGUCGCAAGAUUAAAACUCAAAGGAAUUGACGGGGUCAUAGCUG